UACGGAGGAUGCAAGCGUUAUCCGGAAUGAUUGGGCGUAAAGCGUCCGCAGGUGGCAAUGUAAGUCUGCUGUCAAAGCGUCUGGCUCAACCAGAUAAAGGCAGUGGAAACUACAUAGCUAGAGUAAGGUAGGGGUAGAGGGAAUUCCUGGUGUAGCGGUGAAAUGCGUAGAGAUCAGGAAGAACACCGGUGGCGAAAGCGCUCUGCUGGACCUAAACUGACACUGAGGGACGAGAGCUAGGGGAGCGAAUGGG
rnacentral:rRNA from 1 species